rnacentral:rRNA from 1 species
UACGGAGGGGGCUAGCGUUGUUCGGAAUUACUGGGCGUAAAGCGCACGUAGGCGGCUUUGCAAGUUAGAGGUGAAAGCCCGGGGCUCAACUCCGGAAUUGCCUUUAAAACUGCAUCGCUAGAAUUGUGGAGAGGUAAGUGGAAUUCCGAGUGUAGAGGUGAAAUUCGUAGAUAUCAGGAGGAACACCAGCGGUGUAGACGGCUUUCUGGACCAUUGCUGACGCUGAGACACGAAAGCGUGGGUAGCAAACAGG